rnacentral:lncRNA from 1 species
UAUUCAGCUUUUUAUUUGCUUCCAUCCUUGGCAUGAUUUUCAUAUGAGAAUGCUAAGCAGGCACAGCAAAUAUUUUGUUAUGUGAGUAAAACCAAGUUUGAGGCUGGUCUGUGCAAUCCCCCACAUACCUCAACGUAGACACCUGCAAGUGCAUAAAGGCAGCCUUGCCUGACUCAUUAGGUUGCCCCACUCUUGCAAACGCCCUCUCAUGACUGAGUGAUGCGGCAUGGAAGGACCUUGUGCUUUUCACAUGGCCACUUCAAAGAAACAUAAGCACAGCAGGCAAGCACCUAUCCUUCCAUGAAACUCACCCCAUGAGAUGAGAAUCAUGCACUGGACAGCUCAGAUUCAAUCUCAUGACCUCCAGACAGGUGCACAUACCAUGACGCUAUCAUGUUCUGGCCCUCUGGUGAUCACACACAUCAAUCCUGAGUAUCCAUCCAUCAAGGCUGGAUGACUCCUUUUCAGGCUGCAAGAACUGAGCACCAAAAGUAAGCUGUCUGAAACCAGCCCUAAAAGGCAAACACUUAGGUGAAAAAAAAUCAGGUUUUGUCCUUGCUACUGUGUUUCUUGAAACUGAAUAUAUAAGAAAAUUAAAAUCAGAUGUGCCAAAAAUACUAGGGACAUUUAUUUUAAUAAAAUUGAGAAAGCUGAAAAUAGCAAGCAUGAAGCCCACAGUAUGAGAUAGCUACCAUUUGUUUUGUGUAAAAAUACUCUGCCACUUAAAGCAUCAGAAAGAUUUCAUUAUGGGCUUUCCGGCUCUUUGCUUAUGUGUCACUGAGACCUCCUUUAUCUGCUGAAGAUGUGCUAAAUAGCAAUCAAGAUCUUUUUUAUGAAGUGGUCUGGGCAAGAAAAGGGCAAUUUCUUUCCUAUAUAUAGUGAAGAAAGUAAAGUAGGACUUAGAGAAAACCACCAGAAAACAAGAUGUUAAUUCCUCUCCAAUCCCUGUGUUAGUGGUCUGCUUUUGCCAUACAUCUUCAUUUUAACCUGUGGAAUAACUUCAUCUGCUCUCAUUUGGGGUGGUAACAUUCUACUUUUCUUUUCUGUCUGGUUGCUUCUGCAUUUGCCUGUUUGUAAAGACCUACUGGUAGAAUCAACUGGAAAAUGAGCAGAAAAACAAGAGGGAAAAACAUAAGGAAACAAAGCCAUCUGGGUCACAUUUCCCAGAGUACAUUUUAGUAAAUUCUGACUAAGACUUCCACACCGCACAGUUUUACAUCAAACUGGAAACUAGCCCAAGUUUUUAAUUUUUUAUACAGACUCUUCCUUAUAUAGCUUUCUCACAAAACAGUUCUGAAUAAUUUUCUAAUCCCUUGUUACUGUUACUACAUAUGCAAGCUUUCCUUCCAAGGUGAUUAAAGGUCUUUCCUUAUCUAAGGGAUACCAAAGCAGGAUCAUGAAGCUUAGCAUCUAUUCACCAAGAUCACACACAUAUACGUGGUAUGGCAUUCAAGAUAGUUGUUAAUUAUUUCUUUCUUCCAAGAAAUUAAAAUAGUCAAGUGCAUUUGCUAAAAGAAAAAUAUAAUCUACCCUAUAAUUAGCUUCUUAAGUAGCAUGUUUCAAUAAACAUGCCCCAGCAAGAUGCUUUGCCAUCAACAUGAAAUAAUGUAAAACAUUUUGAAGAAAAGCAUAUUGAGAAAGAGAAUGCAAGAAAGAUAAUUAAAACCAAUUGUAAAUGCAGUAGAUGUGAUUCUGAAAAAGCAAUAACCUAAAGACAGGAAUGGAUUCCAUUUAAUGAGAGAAAUCAAACAUGUCUGCAGUCUUUAUAACAAAUGAUAGAUAAGAGCAAUAGCCAAGGUUUGGUCUAGGUCAUAUAUUUUAUUAAAAACCCAUAUGGCAUGAUGAUCCACUAUGAAAAAUAGUAGUGGUAGUUUAUUACUGUGGUUUGUAGACAGGAAGAUUUUCAUUUAAUUGAACAUUUUCCAUCAUGUUCAGGACAAGAAAGUGUUUCUAAUAAUUUCCUUUUAGUAAUUAUUUUGUCUUUAUUAUAUUUGAUUUAAAUAAAAAAAAGAGCAGCUCAGUAGGGCUGAAGCAAUGUAAUUUAAUAAGAUGUGCUACUUGUUGUUUGUUAGGAUAGGCGACUCUUACCACCUGUUAAACAUCAGCAUACCUCAUACUGGACAUUUGGAAAAUGGGACCGAUUGCCCAAUGUCAAGUCCAAACUCAAAGUAGUAUCAGAUGUGCUACUGUUCUGGAGCAAUGUGGCACCAAAUGCACUGAUUAGAUUAUAAAGAAGUAUUUUUCUUCUUCUUUCUUUGGUACCACUGGGAUUUGUGCAAGAGGGACAAGAAAUCCAUGUUCCCACACUAUGUGAUGAGGAAUGUGAAAAGCUGCAUGGGUAUUAAUGAGCAUGCAUCUGUCCUUCACAGAGAAAGUUCAUGGUGCUUGAGAUGAAACCAAGCAAAGUUUACAGAUCAGCAACUUGUCAGCCCCAACCUCCAGAUGAAAUUAAAUGCAGAUAAAACAAAUAGAAUGUUUUAAGGAAAUGGAAAUACCAAGUGCUGGAAUUUCCUGGCUAUAUACAGCUGGAUUUAUUUCAAGCUCUCUGGACAUGGAAAACAGUAUGAGCUCAUAGUCCCUAUAUGGGAAAUAUGAUAUUGGGAAGGGAAGAAAUAGAGUUAUAGUCUCUGUUCUAUGGUAACUGCAUGAUUAUCCAUGCCAAAGACAAGGGAAUAGUCCCAACAAGAAUAGUUGGUCAGUCACAGUUUUGAGGAGAACAUGAGAAAGAGUAUGUACCCAGUGAGAAAUAUGGAUGAGGCUUUUUGGGACUGCUGAGAGGCAGGGAGGAAAUAAAGCCAUGUGGAAGCAAGCUGUGCUAUGACCCUUGCCCUGGCUGUGUGUAAUUUUCUAAUGUAGAAUUGGGCUAUGUGACUUACUGAUUUUAAUAUGUAGUGACAGGUCAGCCUGAAUUUUAAAAAAAAAAAAAAAAA